GCCUUUCCUCCGGCAUCUGGGAGCUGCCAGCAACCCAGUUCCAGGAGAGAAAAUAGCUUGACACCUCCUGCAGCCCAUGGAGUCCUCUUGUUGGGACAAGGACCCCCCAGGAGAGAGGAGCCCCCAGCAGAGUCAACACUGGAGGGCCAGAGACCAUGGUGCCCAGGGCUGUGGACCACGCCAGCCGAUAGCCACUGCAAGCCCCAGACCAGGGCUGUGGAUCACGCCAGCCCACGGCAGCCGCAUGCCCCAGACCAACACGAGAAGAACGCAGGCUGACAACAUCUUCGUCUAUGCUCUCACCACACUCAGUCAAUGUCCACUGGGGGCCUCGGGGGCACCUCCACCUGCCCAGGUCUGGGACCACCAUCCUCCACGCAUAUCUACAGACCCUGUCCUCACCUGCAUCACACCAAUGACGGCAUCACGGUGUGAGUUCCGGUCACCAGUUGGCCUCCCCCACCAACGUGGACUCCUUACGAGCAGGGCCACCAACGUGGAUGCGAUCCCAUCAGGAACCACCUACUUUUGUGUCCCCAGCACCAUGCUCAGGUCCCAGGGAGGCCCCAGCAAACUGUGGAACAACCAAACUAGUGACUGAAUGAACAAGUAUGUUAAGUUUUUAAGUAGAAAAUAGCAGAAGACUUAGUAGAAUGCAUGAGUAACAAUUAUGAUUGUAUGAAAAUCAGUAUCCAUGUAGAAGGUAUUAUGCAAAAAAAAGCUUAACUUUGUUUCAGUACCUUUCCAAUUAAAUGUUGUUAAGCAGUAUUUCCCCCAAAAGGUACGUCUUUUAUAAAACAAGAACACAAGGCUCUGAGGCCAACUUUGAACAUGUAUUCGAGUGAAUUCACAUUCCCCAAAUUUUCCAUAUCCCAAAAUCUGGACUUUUGCUAAACGGUGUCCUUAGGACAGGAGUCUCUCCAAGGAAGCCGCCUGAGCUGAGAGGGGGCCUGGCGUCGCCCGCCCAGGUCAUCAGUCAUCAGCAGCAGCAGCUGCGGCAUGAGAGAGACGGUGUGGGGCGAAACCAAUGGGGAAACCACAAAAGAAACCACCUGCUACUGGAAACGGCCUCGCUGUACUCAGGGAGUUGGUUCCAGGACCCCAUGGACACCAAAUCCAGGCACAUUCAAGCCCCACAGGUAGACCUGCCGAACCUGUGUGUACAAAGAGUCGGCCCUCCGACACGCGCUUCACAUGGCAGGAACACUGUAUUUUCUCCCUGAGUUUGGUUGGAAAAAUCCACAUAUAAGUUGAUCCGCAAAGCUCAAGCUUGUGUUGGACAAGAGUCAACUGUAUGCAAUUGACACUGAUUCCUACCAACAAUAUCAAAAUCCCAGCAUGAGCAGCACGAUAAACAGAAUGAGCAAAAUUCAAAAACUAAAGCGGCAUUUUUCCUGCGACUUGGCGCACUGCGUAUCCCCCGCGGGAAAGACCACGCUGGCUGCUGACCAAACUCCACCGGCAUCUUCCUCCGUCCUGAGGGCAUCUUCCUCCAUCGACAGCAGCCUGGGCUCACCUCCCAGCCCAAGCCUGAGAACUGAGUUCCAGUCCCAGGGUCAGGGAGGGGGAGCUCACUGUGCACCCUCCCAGCUCUCCUCCGCCCCUUCCCUCAGGCUGGCCCAAGAGCAGCCUGGACAGUCACCUGCUGGGGACACUGGGCUGCCCCUCCUCCGCCCACAGCCCCAGGCCACCUGUCUCAUCCGUGACCGAGAAACGGAGCUGCAGUGGGAGGCGGGACACGCUGGGAUCUACCCAUGAGCAGGCCGAGCUGCGCCAAUCACUCAAGCUUCACUUUGGUCACUUGCUCUACCCGAUAAAACAGAAUGAAAUAACACCACGUCCUCCUUUCCACACACUCCCAAACCUCCCAUCCCACUUCCCGGCGCUGCCCCCAUAAGAACACUUUGUGCCUCUUUCUAGGUAUUUUCUAUCCUUCUCAAGCACAGAACCACAUUCAGAGUGAUUUUUUUUUUUUUAAACAGAAAUGGCACCAGGGCAGAUGAUGACUUUUUGUACCAUUUCUUGACUUUCUUGGGCAUUUUCCACACCAGGACAGAUGGACCCUGCUCUCCCUCCCCGCCUGCAGCUGCCUCGCAGCAGCCACACACCGAGCUGUAAACCCUCACAAGACUGUGGGCAUCUCGAGGUGACCCACGUCCCCAAAGACCAAGGGGUCACAGCUUCACAUUGUCCAACAACACUUCAGACGCGGCCUCGAGCCUGGGAGCCCUACUGGCCAGCCCAGACCAGCCCCAGAACAGAGGUGUGAGGGGUGACGUCUGUACUUCCUUUAAAAAAAGGCAGAUAUUCAGUGCCACAUUUAAAAUGGUCAUGGUGGCCAGGCACAGUGGCUCAUGCCUGUAAUGCUAGCACUUUGGGAGGCCAAGGUGGGCAGAUCACUCGAGGUCAGGAAUUCGAGACCAGCCUGGCCAACAUGGCGAGACCCUGUCUCUACUAAAAAUACAAAAUUAGCUGGGCAUGGUGGCGGGUGCUGUAAUCCCAGCUACUCAGGAGGCUGAGACACAAGAAUUGCUUGAAACCUGGAAGUGGAGGUUGCAGUGAGCUGAGAUCACACCACUGCACUCCAGCCUGGGUGACAGAGCGAGACUCUGUUUCAAAAAUAAAAAUAAAAAAUAAUAACAAAAAACAACACAGGCAUUCCUAGUCCCUUGGAGCCACGGCAACAAAGCUGGCAAUAUAUUUUGGUUGUUUAUAAUCAAUGUUUUACAUGAGCUAUGCUGCAAGUCUCAACCUUAAUCCUGCUACAGUAAUCAUCCAUUACAAAUUAAAACAAGAGCCAUAAUUCUGUCUCCUACUAAAAUAUUCUAAUUGAGACAUGCUAACAGAAUACAUUUCUUUGGGUGAGAAAGUCUCCGCCAGGGUGGGGAACAGACGGCCCACCGAUUGUGCUGUGGCCCUAACCUCCGAGGACUCAGGAAUCACCCACAGCAAGGCUGGUGACUCAAAAAGAACACUAAAUUGCUCUUUGACAUUAAUUCUUAAACCUUGAGAAACCAAAGUUCUCUUUGUAACAGACUUGAGAAAGACGCUCAGAAGAGAUGCACCAACUCUUACCUGGGAGAGACACCCUUGCUAAUCAUAUCUGGAUUAAUGGAUGCACUAAAAGCAUCUCUUCCAACAGGGACACAGACUGCAAACAGGAACACCACGCAUACCUUCCCCAAAUUACCCAGUCCUGACCCAUCAACCCCUCGGGAGGUCCCCAGCCAAGUCCAAUAAGGAAAUGACCCCACAGCAGAUGCACGCGCCUGCAGUGAGGGCAGUGGCGUCAGGGAAUUCCGCUCCAUAAACCUUGGCAGCUUGCAGGGAGGUGCAUCCUUAUCAGAGGCUGCCGGAGAUUUGCUGGUGGUGCUUUCAUUCUUCACAGCUGCUAUCUGAUCUCAUGCUAAUCAGUGUUUUUCUGACAACAAAGUCAAGGUUUCUCUGAAGAGACUGCCAGAUGAAAGAAAGGGAGAAAAGACAGAAGCCCGUUUCUGUACCCAGCUGGACAGGUGAAGUCAUUUAGGUGCAGGAUGAUCUGGCCAUUCCAAAUAUGCGUGGCCUUCCAAUUUUGUUAAAAUGAAACCCAGCCUUUGAAAAGGCCUGGACUUCCCACAAUGCACAGUAUUUAUAGUGUGGAGGGCACUGUAGAGAAGUCAUCAGUAUAUUCACAACAGCAAGAUCCACGGAGGCUCUGCCAUGUGCCAGGCCUGGGACAACUGUUUACAGAAAACAUCUCAUUUCAUCCUACACAGAAUACACAGACUGCUUCACAGAACACUACCAAAGGGGACCAUCACAUGAUCCCCAAGAAGUAAUGAGCGCCUUAAAAGUAAGAAAGCCAACUUCCUCCCCUCUUAUCUCCCUGUCCUCAUUUUCACAGAACCAAAGAAAUAUGAAGGGCCAGUGACACCCCAGUGAAGAACGCUCUCCUGGUGGUUAUACUCUGUAGUACGGAGCAUGACACUGCUCUGUGCUGCACGAGGCUACCAUUCUAUACUACACUAGUAUGAUCGGUUUGUUCUAUUCUAUACUAUUCCAUUCUCUACGAUACAAUAUCAUACUGUUUCAUUCUACACUAUAUAAUACUGUACUAUCUGUUCUAUUCUAUACUGUUUUCUUCUCUACUGAAAGGAGUAGCCGGCUUGCUUUAGGCAGACAGUAAGGGAAGGGUCCCAGAGAGCCUCCAGCCCAUGUUUUGUGCAGAUAGGGGAACUUGCAUAGGGGGCUUGCCUAAACAUGCUCACAGCAGACUAAGGGCCCCCAUGCGUGUGGGAGAAUGGGGUGGAGCCACCAGAAAUUCGCUCCUUACACAAACAGGAAGCCUAGCCCCAUCAGCUUCUAUAUAAAAGCCCUUGUAGUCAACUGGGAAGAGGGCAACCAGCAACCUGCUCUC